rnacentral:tmRNA from 1 species
GGGGGUGACUUGGCUUCGACAGGAGUAGAGUGGUCACGGUGGCAUGCCGCUUUGGACAUAGCGUAUAAAGUCUAAAAUAAUUUAAACGCAAACAACGUUAAAUUCGCUCCUGCUUACGCAAAAGUAGCGUAAGUUCAGUUGAGCCACGCUAAAAGCUGAUACUAUUUAGGCUUUCAAGCGUGUAAUUUUAAAUAGUGUAGUUUAGAUGUGUGACGAGCAUUUAAAUGAAACUUUAGUCUUAGUCUAAAAACCAGGUUUUGGAAAAUGAGCCCUUUUAGAUGAAAUUUUCAUUUUCACUAAGCAUGUAGAGGCUUUGGUCUUUUGCUUUUGGACUGCGGUUCGAUCCCGCACACCUCCACCA